CAGUCGCCACGGGAAUACGGAGGGUGCAAGCGUUAAUCGGAUUUACUGGGCGUAAAGCGUGCGUAGGCGGCUUUUUAAGUCGGAUGUGAAAUCCCUGAGCUUAACUUAGGAAUUGCAUUUGAUACUGGCAAGCUAGAGUAUUGUAGAGGAUGGUAGAAUUCCAGGUGUAGCGGUGAAAUGCGUAGAGAUCUGGAGGAAUACCGAUGGCGAAGGCAGCCAUCUGGACUAAUACUGACGCUGAGGUACGAAAGCAUGGGGAGCAAACAGGAUUAGAUACCCGCGUAGUCCCUGUCUCUUAUAC
rnacentral:rRNA from 1 species